rnacentral:rRNA from 1 species
AUUGAACGCUGGCGGCAAGCCUAACACAUGCAAGUCGAACGAGUGGCGGACGGGUGAGUAAUGUCUGGGAAACUGCCUGAUGGCGGGGGAUAACUACUGGAAACGGUAGCUAAUACCGCAUACCAUCGGAUGUGCCCAGAUGGGAGUAGCUCGUGGGGGGGGUAAAGGCUCACCUAGGCGACGAUCCCUAGCUGGUCUGAGAGGAUGACAAGCAACACGGGAACUGAGACACGGUCCAGAAGCCUACGGGAGGCAGAAGUGGGGAAGAUGGCACAAUGGGCGCAAGCCUGAUGCCGCCAUGCCGCGGGUAUGAAGAAGGCCUUCGGGUUGUAAAGUACUUUCAGCGGGGAGGCGUUACCCGCAGAAGAAGCACCGGCUAACUCCGUGCCAGCAGCCGCGGUAAUUC